rnacentral:rRNA from 1 species
AGCGGCGUACGGGUGCGGAACACGUGUGCACUGCUUUAUCUGGGGGAUAGCCUUUCGAAAGGAAGAUAAUACCCCAUAAUAUGUUGAAUGGCAUCAUUCGACAUUGAAAACUCCGGUGGAUAGAGAUGGGCACGCGCAAGAUUAGAUAGUUGGUGAGGUAACGGCUCACCAAGUCUACGAUCUUUAGGGGGCCUGAGAGGGUGAUCCCCCACACUGGUACUGAGACACGGACCAACUCCUACGGGAGGCAGCAGUGAGGAAUAUUGGACAAUGGGUGAGAGCCUGAUCCAGCCAUCCCGCGUGAAGGACGACUGCCCUAUGGGUUGUAAACUUCUUUUGUNUAGGGAUAAACCUACCUCGUGAGGUACUGAGGUACUAUACAAUUAACACGGUUACUCGUGCCAACGGUAUAACGGGAGGGGUGCAAGGCGUUAUCCCGGGAUUUUAUUGGGGGUUUAAAAGGGGGUCCCGUAAGGGGGAUUCCGUAAUUCCGGGUGGAAUUUCCCCGUUUUAAUUGGGAAAUUGGGCCUGGAUAUCGGCGGGUUUCGGGUUUGNUGUAAUUACUGGGGAAAAAUUUUGGGAAAUGGGUUAUUUUUUUUA